rnacentral:rRNA from 1 species
GACGAACGCUGGCGGCGUGCUUAACACAUGCAAGUCGAACGAAGAGCGACGGAAGCUUGCUUCUAUCAAUCUUAGUGGCGAACGGGUGAGUAACGCGUAAUCAACCUGCCCUUCAGAGGGGGACAACAGUUGGAAACGACUGCUAAUACCGCAUACGAUCUAAUCUCGGCAUCGAGGAUGGAUGAAAGGUGGCCUCUACAGGUAAGCUAUCACUGAAGGAGGGGAGUGCGGCUGAUUAGCUAGUUGGAGGGGUAACGGCCCACCAAGGCGAUGAUCAGUAGCCGGUCUGAGAGGAUGAACGGCCACAUUGGGACUGAGACACGGCCCAGACUCCUACGGGAGGCAGCAGUGGGGAAUCUUCCGCAAUGGACGAAAGUCUGACGGAGCAACGCCGCGUGAGUGAUGACGGCCUUCGGGUUGUAAAGCUCUGUUAAUCGGGACGAAAGGCCUUCUUGCGAAUAGUGAGAAGGAUUGACGGUACCGGAAUAGAAAGCCACGGCUAACUACGUG